GUUUUAUUGUCUUACUACUCUCUAAAACACUAAAUCAAACAAUUUAUACCGAGUUGUUCUUGGGUUCGCCCCAAAGAGUGAACCUGUAAGUUCACCAACCAAUAAUAUUUUGUUAUUUUAUAUUCAGCAGUAUCUAUUAAAAAGAAAAUAAAUAAUAAGAAUUUGCUAAGUUACAUUAUGUUUUUUAAAUAAAAAGGUAUAAAUAAAUAAAAAUAAUAGUAAUUGCAGCAAAAAACUAAACCCUAAAUCCUAAAAACUUGAACCCUAAACUCUUAAGUAAACCUUAAACUCUUCGAUAAAUCCUAAACCCUAAAUCGUAAACACUAAAUCUUAAGAACACUAAACACUCAAUUUUAAGCCCUAGAUCCUUGAAUAAAUCCUAAACCCUAAGCCAUAAAUCUUAAUCAUAAAUCCUAAACCUAAACUCAAAACCUUAUACCAAACACUUGUCCUAAACCUAACUCUUAAACUAUAUAGUUAAAACCUAAACACUAAACCCUAAAUUCAAAACAUUAAACUAAACCCUAAACACUAAACCAUAUACAAUAUAUU
rnacentral:lncRNA from 1 species